UACACAUGCAAGUCGAACGAUGAACCACCUUCGGGUGGGGAUUAGUGGCGAACGGGUGAGUAACACGUGGGCAAUCUGCCCUGCACUCUGGGACAAGCCCUGGAAACGGGGUCUAAUACCGGAUACUGACCUGCCAAGGCAUCUUGGCGGGUCGAAAGCUCCGGCGGUGCAGGAUGAGCCCGCGGCCUAUCAGCUUGUUGGUGAGGUAAUGGCUCACCAAGGCGACGACGGGUAGCCGGCCUGAGAGGGCGACCGGCCACACUGGGACUGAGACACGGCCCAGACUCCUACGGGAGGCAGCAGUGGGGAAUAUUGCACAAUGGGCGAAAGCCUGAUGCAGCGACGCCGCGUGAGGGAUGACGGCCUUCGGGUUGUAAACCUCUUUCAGCAGGGAAGAAGCGAAAGUGACGGUACCUGCAGAAGAAGCGCCGGCUAACUACGUGCCAGCAGCCGCGGUAAUACGUAGGGCGCAAGCGUUGUCCGGAAUUAUUGGGCGUAAAGAGCUCGUAGGCGGCUUGUCGCGUCGGUUGUGAAAGCCCGGGGCUUAACCCCGGGUCUGCAGUCGAUACGGGCAGGCUAGAGUUCGGUAGGGGAGAUCGGAAUUCCUGGUGUAGCGGUGAAAUGCGCAGAUAUCAGGAGGAACACCGGUGGCGAAGGCGGAUCUCUGGGCCGAUACUGACGC
rnacentral:rRNA from 1 species